UUGGAAUAGUCCCAUAGUAACUGUCUCUCACUGUGGAGGUGGACAAUCUGGUGGCUCAGCAGACCCACUCUAGUGCCUAGAAGGUUCCUGGAGAGCUGCUGGGUUCUAGUCUACAAUGAAAGCCUGGACAAGCUGGUUCUGAUAACACUGAAGAAAUCGUCAUUGUCAUCAUCAUGGUCACCGUCACCAGCACCAGCAGCAGCAGCAUAACUGACUCGGCAGCAAGAGAAAAGAGCAAGAGAGCCAAAGGUCUUCUGAACUUCAGGCCUGUUUCA
rnacentral:lncRNA from 1 species